GCUGCCCCGGAUGUUGCUAACGGAAAUCUCUCGGAGCCCCCAAGAGCUUCAGAGGCCUAGACUCAGACAGCCUGCUGAGACGUGAGCUGCUCAUCCUGCCCGAGGCACCUGACCCUGCCUAGAGUCACCACCAAGGACCAAGGAACGCUGUGCUGUGAGUCAGUGGAUCAACAGUGUCCUGAGUGGAGGUGGCGGCAGUGAGUUCCCUCCUGCAUCAGCUGGCAGACAGAUGUGGAGUGAGCUGGGCUGCAACAUCUCCAGGCUGCAGGACCUUCCUCGCCAUCGACUCCUGGGGCUGCUCUUGAACUACUUCAUGCUUGGUUGUGGACAGAGCCAGCUGUGUGCGCCACAGGACAGCGUGUCAGCUUCUCUGUCACAGCAUGUGGACACAGUGAUGGUUGAGUUUAUAGAAAGCUGAAUGAGUCAGACUUUACUGUGUGUCAGGCAUCCCAGGACCCCACCCAAGGCCCCUUCACCUUUCCCUGCCUGCUUGCUGGAGGGCACCCAGUGUUGCCUCCUGGUCCCUGUGGUCCCAGAGUGUGAGAUGGAGGCCCAGGCCCAGGCUUCCUCCUCCUGCUGACCCUUGCUAUGAUUGGGGCUCACGGGGGAGUUGGUGUGGACAGUGCAGAAGGUCUGCACACACUGGGCCCUGAGACACGGCCUCUGUGAGCACCCACAGGACAGUGAUGGAACAAUCCCACUGCCACCUGUUGCCCCACACACUGUGGACCUGAGCCAGGGCUCCCGUGUUCCAGCUAUAUUCCCUUUCUCCUCGGCAUUGACCCAUAACUCCACGAUGUUUCAGCAUCAUGUCUGCACGCUGCCAGUUUCCUGCAAAGCUCUGCUCGCAUCUUCUCUGGGGCUUUCCUACCUGUGGCUUUGUCUCCUGUUUUUACAAAUUGUAUUUGAGGUUAGGGAUUUACAAAAAAAGAAAA